rnacentral:sRNA from 1 species
AUAUCUCUCUGUACGGGAAGGAUGAGAAGCUUCGACUAAGGUUCGAUUCGAGCGCAGCGAGAAAGCGUUGCCGCAGGCAACGACCCGAAGGGCGAAGCGCGCAGCGCUGGCGAAGCGCGCAGCGCUGAGUAAUCCUUCCCCCACCACCA